rnacentral:rRNA from 1 species
GACAGAGGUGCCAAGCGUUAGGCGGAAUCACUGAGCUUAAAGCGUGUGUAGGCGGGCCGUUAAGUGUCUUGUGAAAUCCCCCGGCUCAACCGGGGAAUUGCUGGGCAUACUGGCGGUCUUGAGCAAUCUAGGGGCAGAUGGAACAAGUGGUGGAGCGGUGAAAUGCGUAGAUAUCACUUGGAACGCCAAAGGUGAAGACAGUCUGCUGGGGAUUUGCUGACGCUGAGACACGAAAGCCAGGGGAGCGAACGGG